GACGAACGCUGGCAGCGUGCUUAACACAUGCAAGUCGAACGGGGUUAACUGCUUCGGUGGUUAACUUAGUGGCGAACGUGUGAGUAACGCGUGAGGAACCUGCCUCUCAGUGGGGGACAACAGUUGGAAACGACUGCUAAUACCGCAUAACAUGUACGGAUCGCAUGGUCUGUACAUCAAAGCUUUAUGUGCUGAAAGGUGGCCUCGCGUCUGAUGAGCUAGUUGGUGGGGUAACGGCCCACCAAGGCGACGAUCAGUAGCCGGACUGAGAGGUUGAACGGCCCCAUUGGGACUGACAUACGGCCCAGACUCCUACGGGAGGCAGCAGUGGGGAAUAUUGGGCAAUGGGCGAAAGCCUGACCCAGCAACGCCGCGUGAAGGAAGAAGGCCUUCGGGUUGUAAACUUCUUUUAGUAGGGACGAAGAACGUGACGGUACCUACAGAAAAAGCAACGGCUAACCACGUGCCAGCAGCCGCCGUAAGAC
rnacentral:rRNA from 1 species